UGUACCACCUUGACCAAUAGCAGCUC
rnacentral:piRNA from 1 species